CAAUUAUUUUAAUAUAUUAUAAUUAUGUGGCGGAGCCUGCUUGGGUGCAGGGUGCCUUGCAAAUAACCUAUGUUGUUGUCGGACCAGGGAUUAGCCACCACUUGGUUUCUUGUCGAUGGGACCAUUGUUCCAUUAUACGGGUCCAGGGCCUAAUAUUUGGGCCAAUGAAGGGCCCAUUACUUCCAUUUCACAUUUUCAAGUUCAUUCAAGAGCCUCUGUGGCCGACUGCCCAGUCCAAAUGCAGAAUCGGCAGUUGAAUGUAGCAGCAGGGAAUACCUCUGGGUUUUGGGCCUGUGACCUCAGGCACUUGUAUCGUGGCAACAACAAUCAGAUGCCAUUGCACAGCUAAAUACACAUUCUAUGGCCAAUUAAGCGGUUCUGUCAAAUUACGACUAUGGGAUCAAUCAAUGACAGAGCUUGCAUCACAGGUUCGGGUGAUGGUAGAUGCUCGUGUCAAGAGAGAAAGAGUCAAGGGGGCAGCACAUGCCAUGCAAAUCAAGUUCUAAAACCUGAAAAUUUAAACUGCUGAAUUUAGAUAUGUUCUCGAGAGUGGAUGUAUGGUUGUUUUAAGAAACCAGUCUGCUCGAACUGCACAGAGCAUGGUUCAAAUGUCCUUUAUGCAUAGCGCUAAUGUUUUCUUUUCUGGGUUUUUUUUUUUACUAUGGUAUUGUGUUUUGUUUUUCUGAAACACACUCUGAAUGGUGGUGGUGCUAUGGACAUCAGUAUCUAUAAUUAAUGAAUCAUAGAUAUCAACAGAGCGUUGGUUGCAA